GGUUCCUGGUGUCCGCUGUGUUCCCGGCGCCUCAGCGCUCCAGAGCCAGCAGGGGCCCAGGAGGCUGGGGAGUCCGCUCCCAGCUGAAGCGGGAGGUCUAGUAAGAGGGAUCCAGGGGCUGGAGGGGCUCGAGACCGCAGUGCCUCGGGGUCGGCUGGGCAGGUGGGUGGUCUCAGUGCCCGCCAGACUCGCGCUCCCACUGCGCGGUUCACUUAGGACCCGCUUUCGGGACGGCUUUCUCAGCUUUUCCCAGUCUUUAGCCCAUGAUUCUUCAUUAACGCGCAAGGCGAAAUCGCCAUAGAGUUUUCAGAUUGUUCGAUGUCCCUGGAACCUAGCAGGAGAGUCUAAAAGCCUCUCGGCCCCGGGAAUAACCCUAUUUUCGACAAUGGUACCCCAUGUGGCCGAAUUCCAUGACCGUGCAGAGUUCCAGGAGGAGAACGCGGUGCGCAGAGGAAGCUGCCUUGGCCGAGUCGGUGCCACGGCUGGCAAGGCGGGGGUCUCCCAGCACCACCCCUGAGAGCAGAUUAUCGCAGCCCUUUCAGAGCGCACACAACAAAUGCGCCCGCCAUCGAAUGCAGCAUUUACCACCACAGAUCCGCGCGCCGAUGGGCAGGCUGAUAGCGUCCGCGGGGGGCUCGCCGGGGCGAGUGUGCGCCCCGGCUCUGCCUGGUGUGUUUGGAGGAACACGUGGGUAUGCCAGCGAGUGGACCCAGAGCGAGCAAGGAUGUGAGUGUGCGAGUAAGUGUGCCUCGAGAAAGUUCACGUGUGCGAGACCCUGCGCACACACAUGGUGAGUGUUCGUGGCGAGUGCCAGAGAAGAGGCCGGCGAGAGGCAGGCGGGAAAGGAUGCUGCACGUGACCUCGUGGGAAGCACGCUGCUAGUGUGUGCAGUGUGCUAGCCGCGUGCACGAGACAAUUUACAGUGAGGGCCUACAAGUACCUAGCUUUCGAGGAUGCUGUUUGGGG
ensembl:lncRNA